CUUGCUCCUGGAUUCAGCGGCGGACGGGUGAGUAAUGCCUAGGAAUCUGCCUGGUAGUGGGGGAUAACGUCCGGAAACGGGCGCUAAUACCGCAUACGUCCUGAGGGAGAAAGUGGGGGAUCUUCGGACCUCACGCUAUCAGAUGAGCCUAGGUCGGAUUAGCUAGUUGGUGGGGUAAAGGCCUACCAAGGCGACGAUCCGUAACUGGUCUGAGAGGAUGAUCAGUCACACUGGAACUGAGACACGGUCCAGACUCCUACGGGAGGCAGCAGUGGGGAAUAUUGGACAAUGGGCGAAAGCCUGAUCCAGCCAUGCCGCGUGUGUGAAGAAGGUCUUCGGAUUGUAAAGCACUUUAAGUUGGGAGGAAGGGCAGUAAGUUAAUACCUUGCUGUUUUGACGUUACCAACAGAAUAAGCACCGGCUAACUUCGUGCCAGCAGCCGCGGUAAUACGAAGGGUGCAAGCGUUAAUCGGAAUUACUGGGCGUAAAGCGCGCGUAGGUGGUUCAGCAAGUUGGAUGUGAAAUCCCCGGGCUCAACCUGGGAACUGCAUCCAAAACUACUGAGCUAGAGUACGGUAGAGGGUGGUGGAAUUUCCUGUGUAGCGGUGAAAUGCGUAGAUAUAGGAAGGAACACCAGUGGCGAAGGCGACCACCUGGACUGAUACUGACACUGAGGUGCGAAAGCGUGGGGAGCAAACAGGAUUAGAUACCCUGGUAGUCCACGCCGUAAACGAUGUCGACUAGCCGUUGGGAUCCUUGAGAUCUUAGUGGCGCAGCUAACGCGAUAAGUCGACCGCCUGGGGAGUACGGCCGCAAGGUUAAAACUCAAAUGAAUUGACGGGGGCCCGCACAAGCGGUGGAGCAUGUGGGUUUAAUUUCGAAGCAACGCGAAGAACUUACCUGGCCUUGACAUGCUGAGAACUUUYCCASAGAUGGAUUGGUGCCUUCGGGAACUCAGAMUYAUGUGCUGCAUGGCUGUCGUCARCUCGUGUCKUGAGAUGUUGGGUUWAAGUCCCGUAACGAGCGCAACCCUUUGWCMUUAGUUACCAAGCMUCYYUCGGUGGGCCACUSCUAAGAASACUGSCCUGGGUGRACAAACCGGGAGGAACGGCUGGKGGA
rnacentral:rRNA from 1 species